rnacentral:lncRNA from 1 species
GUGGAUAAUCGGGAGGGAGAGUGGUCCAAGGUGGAUAAGUGGGAGGGGGAGCGGUCCAAGGUGGAUAAUGUGGAGGAAGGAGGGGUUCAAGGUGGAUAAUGCUGACGGGGAGCAGUCCAAGGUGGAUAAUGGGGAGGGGAGGAGUGACCCAAGGUGGAUAAUGGGGAGGCGGGUAGCGGCCCAAGGUGGAUAAUGCUGACGGGGGAGCGGUCCAAGGCGGAUAAUGGGGAGGGUGGAGUGAUCCAAGGUGGAUAAUGGGGAGAGAAAGUGACCCAGGGUGGAAAAUGGGGAAGGUGAGCGGUCCAAGUUGGAUAAUGGGGAAGGGGAGCAAGCCAAGGCAGAUAAUGGGGAGUGGGGAGUGGUCCAAGGCAGAUAAUGGGAUGUGGGGAACGGUCCAAGGUGGAUAAUGGGGAUGAGGGAAGAGGCCCAAGGUGGAUAAUGGGGAGGGUGAGCAGUCCAAAGUGGAUAACGGGGAAGAGGAAGCUGUCCAAGGUGGAUAAUGGAGAUGCGGAAAGGGGGGCGGGGUGGGGGGUUGUCCAAGGUGAAUAGUGGGGAGAGGGAGCAGUUCGAGGUGGAUAAUGGGGAGGAGGGAACAGUUCAAGGUGGAUAAUAGAGACACAGGAGGGGUCCAAG